rnacentral:rRNA from 1 species
GAUGAACGCUAGCGAUAGGCUUAACACAUGCAAGUCGAGGGGCAGCAUGGUCUUAGCUUGCUAAGACUGAUGGCGACCGGCGCACGGGUGCGUAACGCGUAUGCAACUUGCCUCACAGAGGGGGAUAACCCGUCGAAAGACGGACUAAUACCGCGUACACUCCAUCUUGGGCAUCCAAGGUAGAGGAAAUGAAAUUCGCUGUGAGAUAGGCAUGCGUCCCAUUAGCUAGUUGGUGAGGUAACGGCUCACCAAGGCGACGAUGGGUAGGGGAACUGAGAGGUUGAACCCCCACACUGGUACUGAGACACGGACCAGACUCCUACGGGAGGCAGCAGUGAGGAAUAGUGGUCAAUGGGCGCGAGCCUGAACCAGCCAAGUCGCGUGAAGGAUGACUGUCUUAUGGAUGGUAAACUUCUUUUAUACGGGAAUAACAAGAGUCACGUGUGACUCCCUGCAUGUACCGUAUGAAUAAGCAUCGGCUAACUCCGUG